AUAUUAAUUGAGGGGCAACUCUCAACUGACACACAAGGUGAGGUUUCGGCCAAAUAUUGUGUGCAGAAAGCCAGAGACAGGUAGCACGAGAACCUCUGGCGGCGGUUCGGCAGUAGUGCUAAAAUGACGAACCAA
rnacentral:ncRNA from 1 species